rnacentral:misc_RNA from 1 species
UUUCCGUAGGUGAACCUGGCGGAAGGAUCAUUAAAAAAUGUGGUACCAAUUAUUGGUACUAAUUAAUCAUCCUACUCUUUGUGAAUUUGUUUGUAUGAAUUUUUUAAAUGGGUCUUUCCCUAAGUUGGAUUGUUAGUAAAAUACAAAAAGACUUAGGGGAAUGACUUUUUAAAAGACUUUUUUUUAAUUAAAACUUUUUGUAUUCAUUUGUCUAAAAUUUAUUUUUAUAAUAUAAAAACAACUUUUGACAAUGGAUCUCUUGGUUCUCGCAACGAUGAAGAACGCAGCAAAAUGCGAUAAGUAGUGUGAAUUGCAGAAUACGUGAAUCAUCGAAUCUCGAACGCAUAUUGCACUUUUUUAGUUUACUAAAAAAGUAUGUCUGUUUGAGUAUCAGUAAAAUAUUCUCACAAACAUAUAUUGUUUGUGGUAAUGAGUGUUUUACAACGAUAAACAAGUUGUUUCACUUUAAAUUCUUUUAUUGAAUUUUUACUACCAAUUCAUAAAAUUAAAAUUGGAUAAAAUUUUCCUUUAACGAGGAAUAACCUAAACAAUUUUAAAUUUUAUGGUUGUAAAAUCAUAAAGGAAUCUAAUACACAAAUAACUUGAUCUCAAAUCAGAUAAGAGUACCCGCUGAACUUAAGCAUAUCAAUAAGCGGAGGAAAAGAAACUAACAAGGAUUCCCUUAGUAACGGCGAGUGAAGCGGGAAGAGCUCAAAUUUGAAAUCUUCAAGGUUUGACCUUGACGAAUUGUAGUUUAUAGAAGUGUUUUCUGUUGGAGUUUUGGUAAAAGUUCUUUGGAAUAGGACAUCAUAGAGGGUGAGAAUCCCGUAUUUGACCAUGACUUUCCAGCUGUGUGAUACACUUUCAAAGAGUCGGAUUGUUUGGGAAUGCAGUCCAAAUGGGUGGUAAAUUUCAUCUAAAGCUAAAUAUUGGCGAGAGACCGAUAGCGAACAAGUACCGUGAGGGAAAGAUGAAAAGAACUUUGAAAAGAGAGUUAAACAGUACGUGAAAUUGUCAAAAGGGAAGCGUUUGACACCAGUGUUGUUUCUCGAAAAUCAAUUUAAUGAGUUCUUGUUUUUAAGUUAUUGUGACUUUAUCAGCGCAUUUCUUAUUUUACUUGACUCAUUGAAUGCACUUUUCGUUAACAAGUCAACAUCAAUUUCUUUGGUGGUAAAAAGUUUAAAGGAAGGUGGCUUGGACUUCGGUUCAAGUGUUUAUAGCCUUUUUUCUAUGCCAUCGGAGAGAUUGAGGUCUGCAGCGUAGAUCCUUCGGGGUUAGAUACCUUUGUGCUAAGUUAUAGUUUUUAUAGACAACUUGUUGACUAUAAUUAACCCUGUAAUUUACUCGCUUAGGCUAUU